UACGGGGGGGGCAAGCGUUGUUCGGAAUUACUGGGCGUAAAGGGCUCGUAGGCGGCCAACUAAGUCGGACGUGAAAUCCCCAGGCUCAACCUGGGAACUGCGUCUGAUACUGGAUGGCUUGAAUCCGGGAGAGGGAUGCAGAAUUCCAGGUGUAGCGGUGAAAUGCGUGGAUAUCUGGAGGAAUACCGGUGGCGAAGGCGGCAUCCUGGACCGGCAUUGACGCUGAGGAGCGAAAGCCAGGGGAGCAAACGGG
rnacentral:rRNA from 1 species